GGUCAGGUUGCCGAGAGGCUAGGCACGGGUCUGCAAAGCCCAUUACAUCGGUUCGAAUCCGAUCCUGAUCUCAA
rnacentral:tRNA from 1 species